ACCUGGCUAGCUCAGUAGGAAGAGCAUGUGACUGUUGAUCUCAGAGUGAGUUCAAGCCCCAUGUUGGGUG
rnacentral:tRNA from 1 species